CCCGCAACGAGCGCAACCCCUAUGUUUAGUUGCCAGCACGUUAAGGUGGGGACUCUAAACAGACUGCCUGUGCAAACAGAGAGGAAGGAGGGGACGACGUCAAGUCAUCAUGGCCCUUACGUCCGGGGCUACACACGUGCUACAAUGGAUGGUACAGAGGGCAGCUACAUAGCAAUAUGAUGCGAAUCUCACAAAGCCAUUCACAGUUCGGAUUGGGGUCUGCAACUCGACCCCAUGAAGUUGGAUUCGCUAGUAAUCGCGUAUCAGCAAUGACGCGGUGAAUACGUU
rnacentral:rRNA from 1 species